UAUCCUCCAGGUAUCACAGGUUGCCCAUUACAGGCAUAUAUAUUCAUGGGACCAAUUUACUACCAGAAGUUAAAACAUAUGGUCCUAGAUAAAAUGCAUGCACGAGGAAGCGGUCCCCGAGUCAGUCUAACUAGACAACCUACUGAGGGAAAAGCCCGAAAUGGAGGACUACGAGUGGGAGAAAUGGAGCGUGAUUGUUUGAUUGCUUAUGGUGCUAGUAUGUUGCUUUAUGAACGCCUAAUGAUCUCUAGUGAUCCUUUUGAAGU